CGCGGCCGGACAAAGACAGUGUGACUGAGUGUGGGAGAGGAAUGGCGCCGGCGGCUGAAGGAACAAGAACAGAAACCGCUGGAAAAGCUGAGCAGGUCCGGCAGCUCGUGUUGAGAGAAAUAGUAUUUGAAGAUCUGAAGACGGAAAUUUCAAAAUCGACAGAUGAAGGCCUUAUGCCUGAACCAUUGACUUCUGUUCCUCGGAUGCUGCCUGACCUACAGUGCUUUUCCAGCGUCACACUUUUGAAUUCUUGACUCUCCAGCAUCUGCAAUCCUCACUUUCACAUCAAUGUCUGACAGUGACACUGGGACAUCGGGACUGCAACGAAUUUUGAGUGUGAUUCUGUGAGAGGAGCAGAGCAUUUGCUUCCUGCUCAAGUACAUUUUCAGAAUCCGUGGGACUGGAUGAGAGACCCUACGUUGCAACACAGUGAGUGUGGAGCCUGAAACAGUUAUACGGCCUGGAAAGAGGAAUUCACGGCAGGGUGGGGCUGUACCCACAUUUGUGUGCAGCUGAAGUUUUGGCCAUAGAGAAACCCGAGGAAUCCCGCUCCGUGAAGAAACCAUGGAAGUGUGGCAACUGUGGGAAAGGCUCCUGUGCCCCGUUUCCUCUGGAGACUCAUCGGCGCAGUCACACCGGUGAGAGGCCCUUCAGCUGCCACGAGUGCAGGAAAGGCUUUACCCAGGCAUCUGUCCUGCUGACCCACUGGCGGGUCCACACAGGGGAGAGACCUUUCAGCUGCCCCCAGUGCCCUGCUGAGGCACCACCGAAUCCACAAGGAGGGGGAGGCCACUCUCCUGCCCCAAGUGCGGGAAGGCCUUCAGUGAUUCCUCCCACCUGCUGAUCCACCGGCGGGUCCACAUGGGGGAGUGGCCCUUCAGCUGCCCAGAUUGCGGUAAAGGCUUCAGCAAUUCCUCCACCCUGCAGACCCACCAGCGGGUCCACACGGGGGAGAGGCCCUUCAGCUGCUGUGAAUGCGGGAAGUGCUUUACCCAGGUCUUUGCCCAGCUGAGACACCAGCGGUCCCACACCGGGGAGAGGCCCUUUAGUUGUCCUGAGUGCAGGAAGUGCUUUACCCAGGCCAUCACACUUCAGAAACACCAGCAGUUCCACAAAGGGGAGAAGCCACCAUCUUUGUUUUUCUUCUUCUUUCCGUCUCCUCUUUCAUUGACGCGCGUCAUCUGGGCCCCCUCCAAUCAGAGCGCACCUUACUCCACCUGACCAAUUGUGGUCGGCGCUAGUUGUUACUGACAGAUCUUGUGUCCAAUUGCCAAUUUGGGGUAAAAAUGGCGGGAGCCACAAUUUCUUUUCCCUGUGGUUGCACAUCUCAUUCCAUUUGCUUUUCUCUUCCGAGGGGGAGGGGGAAUCCCAAACUAGAGGGCACAAGUUUAGGGUGAGAGGGGAAAAAUUUAAAAGGGUUGCAAGGAUUAGAACCAUAAGUUUGAAAGUUAAUUCACAUCAAGAAAAGCCCUCUCUUACGACCCGAACAAAAUAUUGUUCACAGCCUAUUACUGACUAAUCAGGAAGGAUGUUGUGAAACGUAAGAGUUCAGAAAUUACUUACAAGAAUGUUGCUAGAGUUAUAAUUUCAGUUACAUUACACUGUAAAUUUUUGCUAUAAAUUCUGUGUUACGAUCAAUCUACUAUCACCUGAUGAAGGAGCAUCGCUCCAAAAGCUAGUGUGCUUCCAAUUAAACCUGUUGGACUAUAA